rnacentral:tRNA from 1 species
UCCCUGGUGGCUCAGACGGCAAAGCAUCUGCCUGCAAUGCGGGAGGCCCGGGUUCAAUUCCUGGGUCGGGAA